UACGGAGGGUGCAAGCGUUGUCCGGAAUCACUGGGCGUAAAGGGCGCGUAGGCGGCUCAUGAAGGCUGUGGUGAAAGUCCGGGGCUCAACCUCGGAUCGGCCGUGGCGACUCGUGGGCUGGAGCACUGUAGAGGCGGGUGGAAUUCCGGGUGUAGCGGUGGAAUGCGUAGAGAUCCGGAAGAACACCAGUGGCGAAGGCGGCCCGCUGGGCAGAGACUGACGCUGAGGCGCGACAGCGUGGGGAGCAAACAGG
rnacentral:rRNA from 1 species